UACGUAGGGUGCGAGCGUUGUCCGGAAUUAUUGGGCGUAAAGAGCUCGUAGGCGGUUUGUCGCGUCGACUGUGAAAACCUACAGCUUAACUGUGGGCUUGCAGUCGAUACGGGCAGACUUGAGUUCGGUAGGGGAGACUGGAAUUCCUGGUGUAGCGGUGAAAUGCGCAGAUAUCAGGAGGAACACCGGUGGCGAAGGCGGGUCUCUGGGCCAUUACUGACGCUGAGGAGCGAAAGCGUGGGGAGCGAACAGG
rnacentral:rRNA from 1 species